rnacentral:lncRNA from 1 species
UACGGAAGUACGACUUAGACAGACAUACGAGGAUGCAUACAGGUGAUAAGCCUUAUCAAUGUCAAGAUUGUGGAAUGCAGUUUUCCGAGAACUAUCGUUUAAAAUCUCAUCGCAAGAGGCAUCAACGUUUCUAUGAGUGUGAAUGUCCCGUAUGUGGAAAACUGUUUCUCAAACAUUCGACUCUAAACACUCAUAUGAAAAUACAUAACUGGCGUGAAAGUAUUUAGAUACCAGAGAUCGUUACAUUUAACGCUGAGAAAUAUACAAGAACUGCACGGAAAUGACUGAUGGCUGACCAAAAAAUCCCAAAAUACAUUUGUUGUGACCAUAUCUGUUUAGCGAAUCUAUUUUACGAAAAAUAUUCAAAAUAAACAAAGACGAACGGUUCUGCAGUGCAAUUUGAUUCUUUACAAAUCAUGUUUUGCGACAAG